CAUGUUUGUAUAGAUAGAGAAAAAGGGUUUAGGGUUUAAGCCUUUUUCUGUAUUUACCAAAAUACCCUUCUGCCGAGCACUUUUUUUUUUUGGCAAUUGGGUUCUUGAUUUUGCCUCAAAAUUUUCAAAAAUAUUAGACUGUUUACAUUCUUGUUACUGUCUAUUGCUAUCUGUUGUUUUGCCAAUACACUAUUUCUUGUACUGCUAUUACUUCCUUUUCUGGAAUGCGUUUGGACUAUUUUCCCCUUGAGCUAAGGGUCUAUCGGAAACAAUCACUCUAACUAUGAGGUAGUGGUACAUCUGCAUACAUUCUGGCCUCUUCAAACCCCACUUUGUGAGAUUAUAUUGGGUGGGUCUUGGUUAGUCAAUGGUGUUAAACUUGUUUGGGUUGAAAAGAAGGAAUCUUUUUAUUAGAGCUAUUCAUUUGGGUAAGCAUUUCUCAACCCCAAAUACAGAAGAAAUCUUAUUCAAAUCAAUUUGUGUGAAUUUGAGGGAAAGAAAAUGGAGAUUCUUGGACCAACUGUUGCCAAGUCUUAAAGAUUCUGUUCUUCCUCGUGUAUUUCACGAGUUCCGUAGCUCUCCUAAUGUAGUUUUAGAGCUUUACCAGAGAAUAUCAGCUAGUAGAAGUGUGUUAAGUUCUCUUGAAACUUGUUGCAUUGUAAUUCAUACUAUGGUGAAUUGUAAAAAUUACAAUGAUGCUUUGUUCUUGAUGAAAGAGUUAAUGAUAAGUAGAGGGUAUUCGCCUUUGGAUAUUUUAGAAGUGUUGUUGGAUACUUAUGAUGUGAGUUUUCCGUGUGAUGCAGUUUUUGAUACUUUGGUUAGGGCUUGUACAGAGUUAGGGGCAAGUGAUGGUGCAUAUGGUGUGAUUGAGAAGUCGAGGAUGGAGGGUUUUUUUGUUUCGGUUCAUGCUUGGAAUAAUUUUUUGAAUCGUCUUGUUAAAGUAGAUGAUGUAUGUCGAUUUUGGUUCUUUUACAAGGAAAUGGUUUCAUAUGGGUACUCUGAGAAUGUGUAUACCUUUAAUUUAGUUAUUUAUGCCCUUUGUAAAGAAUGUAAAUUGUUGGAAGCUAUUUGCGUGUUUUAUAAGAUGUUGAAGAGUGGGAUAAUGCCCAAUGUUGUUACUUUCAACAUGCUCGUCGAUGGUGCUUGUAGAAUAGGUAAACUGGAUGAGGCAUUGAAGCUUGUUAGGAACGUAGAGAUCAUGUCAGAUGGAUGUGUGUUUCCUAAUAUAGUUACCUAUAAUUGUCUCAUCAACGGAUACUGCAAGUUAGGGGAUGUAGCAAUUGGAGAGCAAUUUCUGGACGAAAUGAUUGAGAGGGGUCUGGAGCCAAAUGUAAGAACUUAUGCAACUUUGGUUGAUGGGUACUCGAGAAACGGAAUGCUGGAUGAGGCAUUUAGGAUUUGCAAUGCUAUGGUUGAGAAAGGUUUGAUGCCUAAUUCAGUUGUUUACAACACAAUAAUCCACCGGCUUUACGUUGAAGGAGACGUCAACGAGGCUUCCAGUUUGCUGUCUGACAUGAUUGAAAAGUAUAUAUCUCCAGACAAGUUCACCCAUUCAAUUCUUGAGAAAGGACUAUGCAGGAACGGUCGCAUAAAUGAAGCUCUUAGUUAUCAUAAGCAGAUUGUGGAAAACAACCUAAUGGAAGAUGCGUUUUCACACAAUAUUCUUGUUGAUUAUCUUUGCAAAAGCCAGAAUCUAUUAGGGGCACAGCAACUCAUAUGCAGCAUGUUUGUUCGUGGUUUAAUCCCGGACUUGGUCACAUACGGCACUAUGAUCGACGGAUACUGCAAAGAAGGCAACAUUAAUAGAGCUGUUGAGGUAUAUGAUGAUAUUAUAAAGUUGCGGUGUUGUAAUUUUGGCCAUUACCUGACUUUUGAGAUCGAGGAUGUGGACAGCCUAGACACAGCUCUAGAGUCUUUCACGAAGGUUGAGAAAAUUGAGGAUUCAGAAAUAAAGUUUACAUGUGAAAAUGUAAGGAGCAAAUCACCAUUAAGGAGCAGCUUGUGCUGGACAAGGCCCCAUCUGUUACUGCCCUUUAUUUCAAGAGAUUCAAAACAGAUGGUUCUCUUGUCGAGAAGAUUGACAAAUAUGUUUCAUUUCCUCUGGAACUGGACUUGCAUACUUAUGCUGAUAACAGCCAAAUUGAUAAUGAAGAAAUGAUCUUUAUGCAGUUAUAGUGCAUACAGGAUUUUCAUACUCCUCUGGGCACUAUUACAGCUUCAUUCGUUCAGCUCCAAAUGAAUGGUACAAUUAGUGUUGUUCGUGUCCAAGAAGAUUAUGUGUUGUCACAGGAAGCAUAUGUUCUGUUUUAUAUGAAGAGGGGCACUCCUUGGUUUUCAGAUUUUAUUGAAGGGCAAAAGCCCUUUAUAGAUUCGUCCAUACUGAAUACUUCCCUAAGUCGGUUUUAGAGAAUACAGAUGCUGUCCGCAUAACUUCUCCACUGCUGCCGAGUACUCAGACUUUCCGUGUCAAAGAACCCAAUGGUACUGCAAAUGAGUCAUCUUCCAAUUCUCUCAACAAGGUUCAAGAUAGUGAAGGAAAGGAAAAUGCGCACAUGAUGUUGCUCCUAGACCACCACUAGUUGCAAGUAAUAUUCUGGAUUCCAAGUGAUGUGAAGUGGAUAAAGAUAAAGUAUCUGCAGCCUCACUACUUAAAGAUGGGUCACCAGUUAAAGAAAACUGCAAUACUCAGGACCCUGGUUCAACCAACAGAACUUUAUAUAUCACACCCGAAACACCACCUACAUCUCCAAACCCAGAUAUGUAUAGAGAAGAUCCACAGGAUAAUGAUUUCAGUAUUCCUCGUGGCCAUCUAAGAACGCCAGGCCAGAUUUCUCGCAAAAAGCAACUGCAGAAUGAUCUAGAGCAGGACAUGGAAAGAAAGAAGGCGUGUUCUCUGAUAAAGAAAAGCAUGCGUGGGUCUAGAGCCCAGCAACUACUUGCUGCAGUCGAGGGUUCGCGCAGUGAAGGUUCUGCUAACAAGAGGAGGAGAAGAAUGGAAGUAUCUUCAACUAGGUAUGACAGUAAUUCCACCAGUUGCCGAAGGUCUAGCUUUGGUUCUGUGAUGCAUCCUGUAAUGGCUAGCAGCAUGAGAUAAGGUGGGGAAAUACGUGUAAUUUGUAACUGGGUACUAUGAACUAACGGAAUAGGGUCCUCAUGCCAAGUUCUUGGGAAUCUUUUAUCCUCCAACAAACAUGGCUCCAGUCUCGGCUAAGACAUGGUCGGACAUCUAGAGUGUGGAUUUUCAAGAACUUUCAAUGAGUAGAGAUAGAGGGGAUCAAUGGAGAAGUACUGCUGUCCGUUCAAAUCCAGCUUUGUGAUGCCGCAGCUUGCACUGCAUAUCACCUGUUGACUGCUCUGGAGUUUACACUUUGGGUUGUUGUUAGCUGCUGAUAGGAACUUGUAUCAUUCCAAUUGCGAAAGAAUGAGGGACUAAUCCAGAUUCUCAAUAACCCGAGCUCCUGAGAUGGCGCAGUCAAGAUAUGUUUGAUGGACGGAAACAACAACAUGAUACCUAGUGUAAUCUCCACAAGUGUGGUAUGGGGAAGGUAGAGUGUACGCAGACCUUACCCGCUACCUAGUAGAGAUUGAGAGGCUGUUUCCAUGUUUGAUGGACGGAAACAUGCUGCUGAAAUCUUAUCUUGUUCGACUGUUUUAGGUCCUGAAGGAUCAACUUAUUAUUGAUGCAUAUAUCCUGAAGCGUACUGGGUAUGUUGUUGUUGUUGUUAUAUAUCUUGAAGCAACUCUGCAGUUUUCUCCAGAAAGUUCAAGUGUAUUUGAGCACCUUACAGAUGCUUUCUGUUUUAGUGAUGAACAACAUUAUGUUAUCUUUGAAGAGGACGGAGGAGUAUCGCCUUCUUCCUGUUAAACUAGUAGUACAUCAUAUCACACCAUCUACUGUGGUACCAUGAUUGUUGCUCUUGGUGAAGUUACAUAUAGCGGCAUUGUAAAGAUGUCAAAAUAGAACUGUUGAUUAUGAGUCUUUGAACAUGUUACAAGUUAUUACAGAGUCUGGGAGGCCAUAUUAACUGUGGUGUUCCGGCCAACUUGCACACUUCGACUUUUCACCAAUCAUCAAGUUUCAUAUUUGCAUA